rnacentral:rRNA from 1 species
UGCAAGUCGAGCGGACAGAUGGGAGCUUGCUCCCUGAUGUCAGCGGCGGACGGGUGAGUAACACGUGGGUAACCUGCCUGUAAGACUGGGAUAACUCCGGGAAACCGGGGCUAAUACCGGAUGCUUGAUUGAACCGCAUGGUUCAAUUAUAAAAGGUGGCUUUUAGCUACCACUUACAGAUGGACCCGCGGCGCAUUAGCUAGUUGGUGAGGUAACGGCUCACCAAGGCAACGAUGCGUAGCCGACCUGAGAGGGUGAUCGGCCACACUGGGACUGAGACACGGCCCAAACUCCUACGGGAGGCAGCAGUAGGGAAUCUUCCGCAAUGGACGAAAGUCUGACGGAGCAACGCCGCGUGAGUGAUGAAGGUUUUCGGAUCGUAAAACUCUGUUGUUAGGGAAGAACAAGUACCGUUCGAAUAGGGCGGUACCUUGACGGUACCUAACCAGAAAGCCACGGCUAACUACGUGCCAGCAGCCGCGGUAAUACGUAGGUGGCAAGCGUUGUCCGGAAUUAUUGGGCGUAAAGCGCGCGCAGGCGGUUUCUUAAGUCUGAUGUGAAAGCCCCCGGCUCAACCGGGGAGGGUCAUUGGAAACUGGGGAACUUGAGUGCAAAA